CAAAGGAAGUUGAGGGCCCCGCACAAGCAGCGGAGCGUGUGGUUUAAUUCGAUGUUACACGAAGAACCUUACCAGGGUUUGACAUAUAGGUUGUAGGGAACUGAAAGGGACCGACCCUUCGGGGAGCCUAUACAGGUGUUGCAUGGCUGUCGUCAGCUCGUGUCGUGAGAUGUUCGGUUAAGUCCGCUAACGAGCGCAACCCUCGUCGUAUGUUAUAUGUGUCAUACGAGACUGCCGGUAAAAAGCCGGAGGAAGGUGAGGAUGAUGUCAAGUCAGCAUGACCUUUAUAUCCAGGGCUACACACACGCUACAAUGGUCUGUACAAUGGGUAGCCAAGCCGCGAGGCGGAGCCAAUCCUGAAAGCAGGCCUCAGUUCAGAUUGCAGUCUGCAACUCGACUGCAUGGAGCCGGAGUUGCUAGUAACCGCAGGUCAGCAAUACUGCGGUGAAUACGUUCCCGGGUCUU
rnacentral:rRNA from 1 species